rnacentral:rRNA from 1 species
AGCAGUGCCACGGUAAUACGGAGGGUGCAAGCGUUAAUCGGAAUUACUGGGCGUAAAGCGUGCGUAGGCGGUUCGUUAAGUCUGUUGUGAAAGCCCCGGGCUCAACCUGGGAAUGGCAAUGGAUACUGGCGAGCUAGAGUGUGUCAGAGGAUGGUGGAAUUCCCGGUGUAGCGGUGAAAUGCGUAGAGAUCGGGAGGAACAUCAGUGGCGAAGGCGGCCAUCUGGGACAACACUGACGCUGAGGCACGAAAGCGUGGGGAGCAAACAGGAUUAGAUACCCGAGUAGUCCCUGUCUCUUAUACA